rnacentral:rRNA from 1 species
GUGCAGCAGUCGCGAAACCUCCGCAAUGCGGGAAACCGCGACGGGGGACCCCGAGUGCCGUGGCAACGCCACGGCUUUUCCGGAGUGUAAAAGCUCCGGGAAUAAGGGCUGGGCAAGGCCGGUGGCAGCCGCCGCGGUAAUACCGGCGGCCCGAGUGGUGGCCGCUAUUAUUGGGCCUAAAGCGUCCGUAGCCGGGCCCGUAAGUCCCUGGCGAAAUCCCACGGCUCAACCGUGGGGCUUGCUGGGGAUACUGCGGGUCUUGGGACCGGGAGAGGCGGGGGGUACCCCUGGGGUAGGGGUGAAAUCCUAUAAUCCCAGGGGGACCGCCAGUGGCGAAGGCGCCCCGCUGGAACGGGUCCGACGGUGAGGGACGAAGGCCAGGGGAGC